GUCCAGCCUUGUCUUAGUAAACAUUCAUCUCCCUGACUCAGGCUGCUGCUUAGAAAUUCUGUUUCGGUUGCAGUUCCAUUGUGUGGAGCCAGUACUACAACUUCUGAUGGUUUUUUGUUUGGUAGUUCCUCCUGCAUUCAUUUCUCUUCCUGCUGCCUUGUGAAGAAGGUGCCUUGCUUCCCCUUCACCUUCUACGGUGAUUGCAAGUUGCCUGAGGAUUCCCCAGCCAUGUGAAACUUUCACAGAGUUUGAGAGAAACUGUAUUCAAGUUGCUGAAACCAAGAAGCUACACUCACGAGUCUCACCUAAACUCGAAUCUGAUUUAGAUGACAUCAUCCUGGACUUUGAGUUGAUGAAACCUUGGAGGUCUUGGGAGUAAAGCAAGUGUGAUUUGCAUAUGAUGGAUAUGAAUUGUAAUGGCCAGAGCAUGGCUGUGGUUUGGUGGUACAUGUGAAUGUUUGUUACACAGGUAAACGUGUCACGCGGGGUUGUUGUACAGAUUAUUUAAUCAU
rnacentral:lncRNA from 10 species